rnacentral:lncRNA from 1 species
AAAUUUUACACAAGGUUUAUGACCACAAAAGGAAGGUUGAGAUUGAUUUUGAGAGUUUUGGUCCCAACAUUUUAGGAAUAAGGGGCCAAAAAGGGCCCAAAUAAGCAUUUUCUUGGUUUUCGCACUAUAACUUUAGUUUAAGUGCAUAGAAAUCUAUGAAAUUUUGACACAAGGUUUAUGACCACAAAAGGAAGGUUGGGAUUGAUUUUGGGAGUUUUAGUUCAAACAGUUUAGGAAUUAGGGGCCAAAAAAGGGCCCAAAUAAGCAUUAUUCUUGGUUUUCGCACAUUAACUUUAGUAUAAGUAAAUAGAAAUCAAUGAAAUUUAAACACAAGGUUUAUGACCACAAAAGUAAGGUUGCAAUUGAUUUUGGGAGUUAAGGUCUCAACAGUUUAGGAAUUAGGGGCCAAAAAGGGGC